UAUGAAGGCCAGGCUGAAGACUUUGCCGGAUUAGCUGAGAGGUGGUGCAUGGCCGUCGUCAGUUCGUACUGUGAAGCAUCCUGUUAAGUCAGGCAACGAGCGAGACCCACGCCCACAGUUGCCAGCGUACUCUCUGGAGUGACGGGUACACUGUGGGGACCGCCGCUGCUAAAGCGGAGGAAGGAAUGGGCAACGGUAGGUCAGUAUGCCCCGAAUCUCCCGGGCUACACGCGGGCUACAAUGGUUGGUACAAUGGGCAUCUACCCCAAAAGGGGAAGGAAAUCUCUUAAAGCCAAUCGUAGUUCGGAUUGAGGGCUGCAACUCGCCCUCAUGAAGCUGGAAUCCGUAGUAAUCGCGUUUCAACAGAACGCGGUGAAUACGUCCCUGCUCCUU
rnacentral:rRNA from 1 species